rnacentral:rRNA from 1 species
ACGAACGCUGGCGGCAUGCCUAACACAUGCAAGUCGAACGCCCCGCAAGGGGAGUGGCGAACGGGUGAGUAACGCGUGGGAACCUGCCCAGCAGUUGGGGAUAACCGCGGGAAACUGCGGCUAAUACCGAAUACGUCCUAAGGGAGAAAGAUUUAUCGCUGUUGGAGGGGCCCGCGUCGGAUUAGCUAGUUGGCGGGGUAACGGCCCACCAAGGCAUCGAUCCGUAGCUGGUCUGAGAGGAUGAUCAGCCACACUGGGACUUAGACACGGCCCAGACUCCUACGGGAGGCAGCAGUGGGGAAUAUUGGACAAUGGGGGCAACCCUGAUCCAGCAAUGCCGCGUGAGUGAUGAAGGCCUUAGGGUUGUAAAGCUCUUUUACCGGGGACGAUGAUGACGGUACCCGGAGAAUAAGCCCCGGCUAACUUCGU